rfam:Clostridium homopropionicum DSM 5847 CLHOM_contig000031, whole genome shotgun sequence.
AAGUCGGUAUUCUAACUUAGAAACUGAACUAGAAUAUUAUUAAAUAAUUUAAUAUUUAAGUUUAGGCUAUUCGACUUAUAUCCUAAUGGGGAAUAAGAACGGAGG